rnacentral:rRNA from 2 species
UGGGGAAUUUUGGACAAUGGGCGAAAGCCUGAUCCAGCAAUGCCGCGUGUAGGAUGAAGGCCCUCGGGUUGUAAACUACUUUUGUACGGAACGAAAAGACUCUUUCUAAUAAAGAGGGUCCAUGACGGUACCGUAAGAAUAAGCACCGGCUAACUACGUGCCAGCAGCCGCGGUAAUACGUAGGGUGCAAGCGUUAAUCGGAAUUACUGGGCGUAAAGCGUGCGCAGGCGGUUAUGUAAGACAGAGGUGAAAUCCCCGGGCUCAACCUGGGAACGGCCUUUGUGACUGCAUAGCUAGAGUACGGUAGAGGGGGAUGGAAUUCCGCGUGUAGCAGUGAAAUGCGUAGAUAUGCGGAGGAACACCGAUGGCGAAGGCAAUCCCCUGGACCUGUACUGACGCUCAUGCACGAAAGCGUGGGGAGCAAACA